GGUUGCAUAGUGUAGGGGUUAUCACAUCAGAUUUUGAAAUCCGACAGGGGUAUUCUGGGAACCCGAGUUCGAAUCUCGGUGCGACCU